GACAGAGGGUGCAAACGUUGUUCGGAAUUACUGGGCGUAAAGCGUGUGUAGGCGGUCUGAAAAGUCGGAUGUGAAAGCCCCGGGCUCAACCCGGGAAGUGCAUUCGAAACUGCCAGGCUAGAGUGUCGGAGAGGUUGGUGGAAUUCUCGGUGUAGAGGUGAAAUUCGUAGAUAUCGAGAGGAACACCGGUGGCGAAGGCGGCCAACUGGACGAACACUGACGCUGAGACUCGAAAGCGUGGGGAGCAAACAGG
rnacentral:rRNA from 1 species